UCUUACGGCCACUCACACCAGAAAUCACCAAAUCCCAUCCGAUAUUUGAAGUUAAGCUGGUGGUUGCUUCUUCAGUACUGUGGUGGGGGACCACACGGGGAUAUGACGUGCAGUAAGUC
rfam:Smittium mucronatum strain ALG-7-W6 scaffold-1660, whole genome shotgun sequence.